CCUACGGGAGACUGCAGUGGGGGAUAUUGCACAAUCGGGGAAACCCUGAUGCAGCGACGCCGCGUGUGGGAAGACGGUCCUCUGGAUUGUAAACCACUGUCCCCAGGGAAGAAGAUGACGGUACCUGGGGAGGAAGCUCCGGCUAACUACGUGCCAGCAGCCGCGGUAAUACGUAGGGAGCGAGCGUUGUCCGGAAUUACUGGGUGUAACGGGAGCGUAGGCGGGACUGCAAGUUGGGGGGCAAAUCUACCGGCUCAACCGGUAGCCGCACUCAAAACUGCAGUUCUUGAGUGAAGUAGAGGCAGGCGGAAUUCGUAGUGUAGCGGUGAAAUGCGUAGAUAUUAGGAGGAACACCAGUGGCGAAGGCGGCCUGCUGGGCUUUUACUGACGCUGAGGCUCGAAAGUGUGGGGAGCAAACAGGAUUAGAUACCCUAGUAGUC
rnacentral:rRNA from 1 species